UCCGUGUGCUUCCAGAUGGAGUUCACCAGUGAAGACUACAGUUCAGAGGCCAGGCAGAAGGGCGGAGGAUGAACUCCACAGAGGAUUAAACGUGGGAACCGGCGAGUCAGUGCUGUGGGACAGUCACACAGUAUAGCAACAUGCCGCUUAUUCUGCUACCAUUGGAAUAAGCAGAAUGAGCUUAGGGCCCCGGCAAAGCAAACGCUAUGUCAGCCUCUCUGCCUUCAGAUACACUUCAUGCCUAAUGAAAUCAAGAGGAAAAAUAUGCAUUUAAAUAAGGGAUGCCAGUAUUACCCCUUCUCAAAAUAAUACAAAUUCCACGGUUGCUGAGGCAUCGUUCUGCUCCUGUGUCAGAAUCUCCCACAGGGACAGGAAAACAGAGUCAAUCUGACCAGGUAAAUAAAGUAAAGUGAGCAUUUCAAGAUGGAGAAACACACAAAUAUAGAAAACAGUGCUUCUGCCAAGACUGGAAAAGCACCUGCUUCUAUCCUUCAACACCUGAUUCAAUUUACAAGCAAGUAUAAACAAGUCCAUCCAUCCGUCUUCUGGUAAGGGUCACGAUGUAAGUCAGCACAAAAGAGACACAGACAACCAGCAAAGCCAAUGGAAACAGAAACCGAAUUGGGGGAGGGGGGAGGGGUGUUCCCGUCAUUGCACAAUAUGAAGGGGUGACAGGAUGGGGCCAAAAAUAAAAGCACAACUUCGCCUCCAAUUUUACAGCAUUCUGCAGCAUGCAGCCGUGCCCUCCGAUAGCACCCAUCUUCCAGAGCGCGGGAAGCCAGAUCAAGCCUAGAGACCAAGGGGAAACGUGACGAGGGCAGACAGGAGCCCCUAUGGACACAUUCACAGCACGCAGCCAAAAGGGCCAUAAUCAAACAUUCUGUUAAAGGCUGGAGGCAGUGACACCCACAACCCAGGAUGGGGGACGGGGGGGAAGCCCAGCAUUUAAAGCUUCACAAGUAAGUGAUGGUCAGGUUGGAGCUGACAGCUUCACUGAUUAUCCUGAAGAAUGAGGGCAGCUGGUGUGGAGAAAGCAGUACGAAUGGAUCCCUAAAGCACAAAGAGGGAGACAUUUGGGACAAGUUUUAGCAACUUACACAUGCUCACCGAUGCGCUACAGCCUCAGUAGGCUGUUCUUCAGGUGUAGUUCUGGACCACAGCUCACAACAUCUGAAUGGGCUCCAAGUGAAUAACCCGGCCCUGGGGAACUGGGCAGGGCACCUCCUGCAGCCGCCCCACAGAACAAGUCUGCCACCUCAAACCCUGUUGUUGAAAGUCACAGCCUAUCUGCUAUCGACAUCAGUAAGCUGCCAGGGCCGAGCACCGAGAGUCCGGCCCCUCUUCAUUAUCAGGUUCCAUACGCCCUCCCCACUGAUAAACGACCCCCAUUCACACGUCACAUUAAAUCAAUAUCAGGAUCCCAUUGAAGGCAUUCACAUAAAACUAACGAUAUCCAUUAAUGAGUAACAUCUGCUCAGCAUUUUCAAAAGCCAUUCUGCUACAGCGAAACAAGAUUCCUCCCAUCAUGGAAGAACGACAUCACAGCAAUUACAUAUUUAUUAAACGCACAUUACUGCAACCAGGUUACGGCACAGACAUUUAAACACACACCGUCAACGCAUUCACAAAAUUCAAGAUCGUAAUCAACCAAUUCAGUACCUCAGCAGAGGCUAAAUGGAUGCUUUUAAAGAUUUAAAUCACAGACUUUCGAUAUAAAAUGUACAACAUAAAAUAAUACAGCUGAGCAUUUCCAUUUGGCAGUUUCUUUCCCAAGACACAGUACGGCACUUACAGGCACUACCAUGCUAGCCAUAAAUGCCGCUAAACAUGUUCACAAGGCACUCAUGCAAUGAAAAAGCAGAUACAUUUUUAGAUUAACAGCCGUGAAUAUCAGUGUGUAAUAUCAAGGUACUUUUAAGAUAAUUUUAUCAUGCACUCAAACCAGCAUGGAAAUCAUUACCAAUGUGGAAUAAUCUAAGCCUUGCAUCAUAUCAAUUAUUUAAAACUUUCACUGAUUUCAAUCAGACAAUUUACAGAGCCGUCUAACAGCCACCUGGAUUCACACUUUCAAAAUGUGUCUAGAUUUAGCUUAUUUACCAUAAUUGAGUGAAUGCUUUGCUUUUGGAAAAUAUGGCAAGAACUGAGGAUAGAACAUUUUCACAUUUACCUUGUCUGCUGCUUUAAAAUAAAUUACGCAAAAAUAAUUCUUUAUAUGAAGUCUUAAAUAUUAAAUGUUUCAUGAAAGGA